rnacentral:lncRNA from 1 species
UAAACUAACCUAUUUGGAUCAAUUAACCUAUUGGUGUCUAAGGUAAGUAAUUGAGAGGUGAUUAUUUAAUUGAUUCUGUUCACUUAUCUGAUCGAUUUAUUGAUGUGUAAGGAAAGCAACGGAGGGAUCCCUACCGAUCUUCACUUAUCUGAUCAAUUUAAAAGAUUGAGUCUUGAAUAAAGUUGCUUGAUGGUUUAGUUUAGCCCAUGCCG